CCCUUAGACACUCUAGGCGGCACGCGCGCUACAAUGGGUGGAAGAACGUGUUACUGCCUCCGAAAGGAGGGGUGAAUCACGAAUUCUUGCCCGUGAAUGGGAUAGUUUGUUGCAAUUUUCGGACUUGAACUAGGAAUCCCUUGUAAACAUGCUCAAGAAUAGCGUGUUGAAUACGUCCCUGCCGUUUGUACACACCGCCCGUCGUUUCUUCCGACUGAUACUCAUUGUGAGUUGCAAGGACCCUUUAUUGGGAAAUUGCUGCAAAUGCUUUGUAUUGGAGGAAGAAAAAGGCGUAACA
rnacentral:rRNA from 1 species